rnacentral:rRNA from 1 species
AUGACCGCUAGCUCCAGGCUUACCACAUGCAAGUCGAGGGGAAACGACAUUGAAGCUUGCUUCGAUGGGCGUCGACCGGCGCACGGGUGAGUAACGCGUAUCCAACCUGCCUCUGACUAAGGGACAACCCGGCGAAAGUCGGACUAAUACCUUAUGAGGUUUUCAGCAGACAUCUAAUGAAAACGAAAGAUUUAUCGGUCAGUGAUGGGGAUGCGUCUGAUUAGCUUGUUGGCGGGGUAACGGCCCACCAAGGCAACGAUCAGUAGGGGUUCUGAGAGGAAGGUCCCCCACAUUGGAACUGAGACACGGUCCAAACUCCUACGGGAGGCAGCAGUGAGGAAUAUUGGUCAAUGGGCGAGAGCCUGAACCAGCCAAGUAGCGUGCAGGAUGACGGCCCUAUGGGUUGUAAACUGCUUUUAUGUGGGGAUAAAGUGAGCUACGUGUAGUUUAUUGCAGGUACCACA